UAGGAUCAUCCAAUUCAUAGCCUAUAUAUAACACAACUCUGAAGCCUAAAUUCCUUAACUCAUUAUGCAGAAGCUGGAAAUCUCAGAUAAUCAUAUGAGGUUUUCAAGCAAUUUUAUUGUUCUAGUUUCGGUUUUUUUGUUGUCAGUUUCAUUGGCAACUUCAACUCCAACUGCAACUCUACAAAGCUUCAAACAAUGCCUCUCUUUCAAUUCCAGGAUUUCUGUUCCUUCCUCUAGUUUUUACACCCCAUAUAAUCCUUCAUCAUUUUCUCGAAUCCUAAAUUCCACUGCCCAAAAUCUAAGGUAUUUGGAGCCUUCAAAGCCUAAGCCUGAGUUUAUUUUCACGCCUUUGUCUGAACCCCAAGUCCAGGCAGCUGUUAUCUGCUGCAAAAUUCUCGGAAUUCAUCUCAGAGUUCGGAGCGGAGGACAUGACUAUGAGGGUCUCUCCUAUGUCUCCGGAAUCGAAACCCCUUUUGUAAUCGUUGACCUCGCCAAGCUUCGAUCCAUUACCGUUAAUAUUCAACAAAACAACGCCUGGGUUCAGGCGGGUGCCACAGUCGGCGAAGUCUAUUACAGAAUUGCACAGAAAAGCAAAGUUCACGGCUUUCCUGCCGGCCUUUGCACAAGUUUAGGCAUUGGUGGGCACAUUACAGGAGGAGCUUACGGUUCCAUGAUGAGAAAAUACGGCCUUGGAGUUGACAAUGUUCUUGACGCCCGAAUUGUCGACGCCAAUGGCAGAAUUCUUGACCGGGCAGCCAUGGGAGAAGACCUCUUUUGGGCGAUCAGAGGGGGCGGAGGAGCAAGCUUCGGAGUCAUUCUCGCCUGGAAGAUAAAAUUGGUUCCUGUACCAGAAACCGUAACAGUUUUUACAGUUACUAAGUCCCUGGAGCAAGGCGCCGCUAAAAUCCUGUAUAGAUGGCAACAAGUUGCGGAUAAACUUGAUGAAAAUCUCUUUAUUAGAGUUAUCAUUCAAACAAGUGCAGACCAAAACGGAACCAGAACUGUAACAACUUCAUACAACGCCCUGUUUCUCGGCGGUGCUAAUAGACUCCUCAGGGUAAUGAAGAAGAGCUUCCCGGAAUUGGGAUUAUCGCGAAAAGAUUGCAUCGAAACGAGCUGGAUCAAUUCAGUGCUUUAUAUCGCCGGGUAUCCGAGCAACAUAACGGCUGAAUUCCUUCUUCAGGGCAAGCCUUUAUUACCCAAGGUCUAUUUCAAAGCCAAAUCAGACUUUGUUAAAGAACCGAUUCCUGAAGCUGCACUUGAGGGGAUAUGGAAAAGCUUUUUACAAGAAGAUAUUCCGUUAACAAUAUGGACCCCGUACGGGGGAAUGAUGAGCAGGAUUUCAGAAUCUGCAACUCCGUUUCCUCAUAGAAAGGGGACUUUAUUCAAAAUCCAGUACGUGACAGCUUGGGUAGAUGGAGAAAAGAGCGAGAAAAAGCAUAUAAAUUGGAUGAGGAAGCUUUAUAAAUACAUGGCGCCUUAUGUUUCGCAGUCUCCCAGAGAAGCGUAUGUGAAUUACAGGGAUCUUGAGUUGGGCAUGAACAAGAAGCGAAGCACGAGUUACAGUCAGGCGAAGGUUUGGGGCGAGAAGUAUUUCAAGGAUAAUUUCAACAGAUUAGUGAGAGUAAAAACCGUAUUUGAUCCUGAAAAUUUCUUCAGGCAUGAACAGAGUAUUCCUCCUCUACGGUUCUAUCGCUGAAAGGCUAGAGAUGGAUGAGACGUUAGUGCACUACAGGCCUUCUUCCUACUUAAUUUGUAUUAGACUUUGUUCUGUUAAUUAAAUAGAAAAAAAAAAAAAAAAAGUCAUUUUCUCU